UUGACAUGACAAAAUAGAGAUAAGAAUCCCUUGGCACCAUCACACAAGCAAAAUAUUAGAAAAUUGCCUAUUAAUAAACUUUAUGUACAUGUAAAAUGAUAACUUAAGUGCGAGAGACCCAUGACCCCAUCGCACCAUUAGCAAUCAGAAUUACAAUAUAAGAAAACUAGAUAUUAACUUGAUAAAAAUAAUCCACCCCAAACAAAGGUGUAUGACUUCUAAAAUCCAAUACUGAUAUUUGUCUUAAGAGGAUAACUGAAUAAUACUUGUUAACAUGAUAAUCACAAGGUGAGAGACCCUUGACCCCAUCACAUUUGUGACCAUGAUGUACCUAUAUGAUUGGAGCUUGGACCCCAUCUAAUUUUUCUCCCAUAGGAAUGCGAAUAUACUUUUUAUAAGCGUUUGAAAACCACCUGCCAAAAGGUCGAUUUUUUUUUUCUGAAACUCCCCAUAAACCUCUUUGCAAUGCCGCACCAAUGCGGAAACUAUGACCUUUGUAAAAGUCAUUACUAUACCCUAACCGAGUGAGUGACAUUUGAAGCUUGGUACAAAAAAAAAUAUAUAUAU